CUCAUUGGUUUUUCGUUCUGUCUCCAUCGAUUUUUUUAGAUUUCACUAUUGCUCAGAUCAGGCAUUAUAUGUAGAGCAGGCAUAUAUACAUUUUUGGAAAAAGGAUACAAGAGAAAACAUUUACAAAUGGAAGUUCAGAACAUUGGGGUAUCAACAGAGGAGAUCUCCUAAAUCCAAACUGAAGUCUAACUCUAACACCCAAUACGAUUUUCUUUUAAUACACAGUUUAACUCCAAGGCCUUUUCCAUUAAUCAAAUCCUUAAGAGACACUGGCCAAUCCUCCAACCCGACGAGUACCUGGGAUGCAAACUACCAGAUAUCCCAAGGGUCAUCUACAGGAAAGGGAGAAAAUUUUCAAUCCACCUUACACCCAGUUUAUUUCAGAAUAAGAAUAUCACCAAGAAAAUUAAUACAAGGAAGGGGUUCUACACUUGUGGACACUGCAAGGCUUGCAGAUUUGUGCCACCGCACACUUAUUUAUUCUCCAGUACGACAGCUGGAGAGGAAUUUAAAAUUCAGGGAGCGGUUGCCUGUUCAUCUAUACAUGUGGUAUACCUCCUCAUAUGUG